GUGCUCACAUCAGCAGCACAUACACUAAAACUGGAACAAGACAGAGAAGAUUAGCAUGGCCUCUGUGCAAGGAUGAUAUGCAAAUUCAUGAAUUAUUCCUAUUUUUU